GGGGAUAUGGCUCAGUGGUAGAGUAUUUGUCUAGCAUGCAUGAAGCAUUGGGUUCAAUCCCCAAUACCA
rnacentral:tRNA from 1 species